GGGAAAUAUUCUCAAUUGAGAAAGUUCUGCAUUUCAGAACAAUUACAUCUGUGUUUGCCAGGAUUUCAUUAGCCAAAAGCUGUAGUACGUACUGAAUAAUGUGCACAGAGUGAAAUAGUAAAUCACUGCAUACACAAUGAUAGGGCUGUUGUGUGAGUCAGUACAUGGCAACACAUGUCAGUCCUCGUCAGCGAACAGCGUGCCUUGGUUCUGUGGACUGUCCGAUUUCAGCUACCUCACCUUUUUCUCAAACACCUUCUUUCUGGAGCGGUGUUUGUCCUGAGUUGUGUGGAAGUAACAUCCAAGUUCCUCUGUGCCCAUGUUCUCAUUGCAAGAUAUUCUACUGGGUUCUUGACUCCUGCAUCUUUGGAAAGGUAUUGUCUUUCCAAUCAUGGUGUCUCCUGUUAGUGAUUGCUGCUGGAACAGCUGCACUCCAACCUCUGCAAUGAAGAUUUUAUUUUUUGUGCGUGCUCCUGACUUGUCUGCCUGUAAUUAAAAUUGAGCAAGCAGAACAUCAGUGAGUAUGGGAACUGCUGAAUCACGGCCUGAACCUCUGGUUGACCACCUGAGAUGAGCACCGAAUCAGCCGUGGGAGCACAGGUGAAGGCAAUUCAGCUGUGUGACCGGAAGGGGUGGAGCCAGGCUGCACCUCUCCUACACCCCAUUUAAGGGCUGACUGCCACUGAGGAAGGGUCUCUCUCUGGAGAUUGCUCUUCAUGGAGUUUUUGUGAGCCUCCAACAUUGCUAUGGGUUCUGAUCUGAAGAGUAUGGCCCCAGCAGCAGGAAUUUGCAAGACCAGUCAGCAUGGUCUGAUGUUUUCAUCAUUGUCAGAAGUGAGAUUUCUCUUUCAUUCUGCUAGUUCAGAACUAUGAGUAAAUUCUACUACUGCUAUUUUCCUCUGCGAUGGAGAUAAGUUGGAGCAGCAUAUUCAGGGCUUGCAGAUGUCUCCUUUGGGUUGCAAGACAACUUUGAGGAAGUGGAGUGUGAGAAAGGUGAAGACCUAAAGAGAAGGAACUGAAGCCAAGAACAGUAAAAGUACACCACUGUGGAUUCCUACAGGGAUAAGACCUGUAUUGUUGCAGCAUUAAAAUUCUGUGAAUCUGCUGAGAUCUGAGGUGGACUACGUGCUCCUAAGACUCACAGUCCAUGACAGGCUUCAUCUCAUCAAAAUGAAUGGUGUCUCUUUAUGGCCUGGCACGUACCGGCAGAAGGUUCUAAGUUACACCAAUGGGACAUUUAAACCUGCCCUAAAAUGCGUUUCAGGUAGGAACAGAAUGACUGUGGAGCAGCCUGCAAUGCCCAUUUGUCGAUUUCCUUGCACUGCACAUGAUCAAUCUGCAUUGCCAUGGGUAAUUUUUGCUGCAAAAGGUGCCUUGUACCAGCUUGUUGAAGCACCAUGGGAAGACACACAGACCACUUGUUUACUCUCUCCAUUUCUAGGAGGUUGGAAGAACCAAACCAUGCUAGAAACAGAACCGCUGCAAGCCAGGCAGCUGAACAGUCAGAGCUUAUGGGGGAAUCCUAGGAGGACUAUUGGAUUGAGAUUUGAGGGCUCAUCAGAGCAGAACGUUGGAUGCAGAGUUCAAAGUGCCCUUGUGUGGGUCCAUUCAGAAGCCACUCAGCAGACCACAGGCGCAUACCUUGUGAGUACUUGGUCUCCUGGAGGUCACACUGCCCCUGGAUGUUUGCUACUAGCUGCUGUGCAGCAGCACUGCCAGAUGUGGGGGAUACAAUCUGUUCCUGGCCUUUUGCUGCAGACAGAUGCAAAACCAGGACUGCUCCUACUUUGGCUCUGACUCCUGGUCGUCUCAUGUGUGACCUCAAAGCUACUGCACACCAUUGUGUACCUGCAGACUUACUGGAGCAAAGCCUCCAAAUGGCAAAUGGAAAAGCCAUCUGGACUUGUCCGUGGCCCUGCUAACUCUCAUGGUGCUGCCUUGGCUGUAGUCAACCACCUCUAGCAGGAGGAAAUGUCAUCCUUAACAAAACCAGAGAAGCUUAUCAAGUCACUGAGCAAACCUACAGUGUCCCUUGUACAGGCAGAGAUUCUUCUGAAGCCCCAUCAGAAUUUCUGGUCCAGUCAUCUGCCUCAUUCUCUCUGUUCAACAUCUGUGGUGCUUUUGUUCAGCAGGAAAAAGCAAAGAUGUUUAAAAGAAAACAAAAAACAGAGCACAAUGCAAACAAACCAAAUUAAAGAAAACGUUUUAAAGCAUUUCCUUGCUCACAAGAUGUGAGAUGGUCAUGUGUUUAAAACUGCAAUAUUAUUUCUGGCGACCGGUCUUGUGAUAUCCUUUUGUUGAUUUUUUCCAACCUCUCAAGAAACUGGAAUGAAAAUAUUUUACUGAUGUUACCAUCCCUGGGAACGGUUUGUCAACGCUGACCCAGGUUAAUGCUGCAAACUCAAAAUAUUUGGCAUGUGCUUUUGUAUUUUUCCUUCAUCAAAGAGAUUAUAUGGGGUGAAGGUCUGUUCACAUGAAAGCAGUGAGAGAUACUGGCAGUGUACUUAGCAAAACAAGAGGGGCCCUUUUAUAAAUGUGUGUGCAUAUAUGCAAAUAUGCUUUUGCAGAUGAUAAUAUAAUCAUGAAAAAGUCAUUACUGUCGCAUUAAGGUAGCUGGCUAACGGGAAAGCUGUGUGGAUGUUGUGGGGAUGGAUAUACUGUAGAAACAAGGACAUAUCCAUCACAGUUCUGUGGCAGUUCUGUGACCAGGGGAAUCAAUGGAGCCUGAUUUUCUAUGGCUUUGUGCCCUGAUGUUAUGACCCUAUCGAGAUUUUUCCAAUGUCUCAUAGGAGAUGCUGCACUUUUUACCUCAGAGAGGCACUAAGCACGGCUCUUAGCUGACUGCCUACUUUCAGAAUACUUUUAAGGAUGUAAGAGGGUUGGGUUUUUUUGGAUUUUUAUACCUUUGCCAAAUGUGCUUGCUAUAGGCCUAAACAUUUGAAGAUUCAUAGAGAGGUCUCAGAUGUACAAAGAGACGGCACGGAGUCCUAAAGCCAAUUUCUGUGAAAUCAAUUUAAGUGUCCUCACACUUUAGCUAUGGAAAAGAAAAACAAACGUGAAUUAAAACAGAAAACAUGAUUUUAAACGUAAAUACGGAAUGUGAUGGCUAAGGAAGAAAAGAUAAACAUGCAGAUUAAAAAUCAGUCACUCAGGGGAGGCCUUCCGCUAACUUGCAAUGAGAAUUUCGCACCUAAUUGCAAUCUGUGUCUUUCAAAAUCACACAACCUCUGCUGUAAAAGUACAUGAAACUUCUCACAGACGACAUUAUGUUAAAAAACUCCUCCAUUUGCUCUGGUGCCUGGGAAUAAACAAACCUGACUUCUGGUUGCAGCUUGC
rnacentral:lncRNA from 1 species